CCUACGGGUGGCAGCAGUCGAGAAUAAUUCUCAAUGGGGGAAAGCCUGAUGCUGCGACGCCGCGUGGGGGAUUGAAGGUCUUCGGAUUGUAAACCUCUGUUAUGUGGGCACAAAUUAAAAAGCUCGUACCCCACGAGGUAGAGCCGGCUAACUCUGUGCCAGCAGCUGCGGUAAUACAGAGGGCUCAAGCGUUGUUCGGAAUCACUUGGCGUAAAGUGUGCGUAGGCGGUUUCGGAAGUCGUGUGUGAAAGGUGCGGGCUCAACCCGAGUACUGCAGCUGAUACUGGGAGACUAGAGUAGUGGAGAGGGAAGCGGAAUGCGCGGUGUAGCGGUGAAAUGCGUAGAUAUCGAGAAGAACACUGGUGGCGAAGGCGGGUUCCUGGACAUUAACUGACGCUGAGGCACGAAAGCCAGGGGAUCGAAAGGGAUUAGAUACCCGAGUAGUC
rnacentral:rRNA from 1 species